UACGUAGGGUGCAAGCGUUAAUCGGAAUUACUGGGCGUAAAGCGUGCGCAGGCGGUUGUGCAAGACAGAUGUGAAAUCCCCGGGCUCAACCUGGGAACUGCAUUUGUGACUGCACGGCUGGAGUGCGGCAGAGGGGGAUGGAAUUCCGCGUGUAGCAGUGAAAUGCGUAGAUAUGCGGAGGAACACCGAUGGCGAAGGCAAUCCCCUGGGCCUGCACUGACGCUGAGAAGCGAAAGCAUGGGGGAGCGAACAGG
rnacentral:rRNA from 1 species